rnacentral:lncRNA from 1 species
AUGGAGUUUGUUCUUUCUUAUGCUGACUCCCCGUUCUUAUUGACCCGGUCACAGAGGGGCUCCUAGUGUGUCAUCUGACCUGGACAUGAAAGCUGCCAGUUACACUCUGAUUAACUGAGGGGUGUGUUCAGGAAUAGAAAGAUAAUUCCUCGGAAGUGGUUCUAUAUAAAGCAUUUGCAUUCUAGAGACACAUUUCUUUCAUAAGAGGAUUGGUCAGGUUCCUUACAGUGGCCAUAUGGGCAAAGCUCACUAACUUUGCUACAUUUCCCUACACCCCACAGUAACCUUUCCUAUUGCUCAAUUCUUCUACAUCGUAAAGCAGCGUUUAUUAUGCUACCAACUAGUGCAGUCACACCUUGGGUUUUGUUAUUACAAAUUACAAAGCAUUUCCCAGAAUUUUAAAAUAUAAUUUUAUUAAAGAUUUUAUUUUAAAUUUAUGAAUAGGAAGAGAAAGUGUGUAAGCUCUACUGUGAAAAAUUUAUGUUUAUAUGGAUGGCAUUGAGACUGUAUUUUCAGGCUAAACCAUGAUGCUCUCGUGAUAUUUUUAAUAAAGAUAAUGAACUUUCUUUUCCAGAGUGAUUUUGGGCUCACCAGAAAACCCAGAGUCCCCAUCUACCCAUGCCCCUCACCCACACACACCUUUCACUGUCAGCAUCCUGUCUGCCACAGCGUUGGAUCUGGUACAAUUAGUCAAUCUAUGCCAAUCCAUCUUUAUAGGAAGUGAGUAGUUCAUGUCAGGGUCUUUCCUCAGUUGUAUAUUGUGUGGGUAAUGUGUAUCUUUAUUAUCAUAAUAGCAUGUGGGGUAUUUUCACUGCCCUAAAACUCCUCUGUGUUCUGAUUGCUGAAUCCCCUCUCCUCACUAAGUCCUGGCAACCACCGAUCUUUAUUCUGUCUUCAUAGUUUUGUCUUCCAGAAUGUCACAUAGUUGGAAUCAAUCAGUGUGCAGACUUCUCAGAUUGUCUUCUUUUACUUACAAUCUGCAUUUACAUUUUUGUGUCUUUUUAUGCCUUGAUAGCUCAUUUCUUUUCAGUAUUGAGUACUAUUCUGCUGUUUGCAUACAGCGGUUUAUGACCUAUUUACUUUUGCUUCUAAUUCCAUUUGCUAUGACACAUUCGUCGCAGGGGACAUGAAUUGAUUAUUUCCUAUGGAUCUGACGAUGUUAUUGUGUCUGGAUCUGAAACUGGCUUUUGUCACCAGUCUGUAUGGCCUUCCAUUGAUCACUUCUGCCGAGAAAGGUGUUGUGAUCCUGCACAUUUGCCUUACUGGGUCAUACACAUUGAUAAACAGUGGCUCCCAAUCACCUGGAAGCUCUGUAUUCUGAGGGGAAGGGUCAUCUACUGCACACCGGAUGGGUGACCUAUGACAAGCAGGUAGAUGUUGAAAUGAUGAUAAUCACACAGAGUGAAUGAGGAAAAGGUCUGCUCGGGGAGAUUCAUCUGAGGCCAUUACCAUAUUCUGUGUCUAUGGCCUGCUUUUAUGUUUUGUGCUGGCAGCCACUUGUGGACCAGGUCCUACAGCAGAGAUGAAGGUAUAACUGAGAAAUGAGUGUUGGAUGCAAAUUAAUAAGGCCUGUAUUCUGGUACUCGCCCUCCCUUUCAUGGUCUCUAAGAACAGUGGCAAACCUCAAGUCCCCUGAGCCUUCCCUGUGUCUAUCAGCCAGGGUUGUUAGUCCAUUUUUGCUUAUUUACACUAGGGUUUAGAAAUACAAUUCUUGAAAGGGUCUCAAUUAAUAUAACAAGCACCGUGAGCCCCUACUGCGGAUGUAGGAUGAGAUCCUUGAUGGAAAACAUUUUUGCAGAAGUUUUGAAGACCUGCAUGCUUUUUGGAGACUUUAAGCUAUUUUAUUUUUAUAUUAAGGUCAGAUCCACUUUAUUAUGUUGCUGUCUCAAAGUAAUUGACACUUUUAGAUCUCUGCCAGUAAUUUGACUAAAAGUUACAGUUGGAAUGUUCUUUAGUGAUUCUGCCUUUGAGAAAAUAAUGUGUUAGGUUCAGAUUUAAAAUGUGUGCAUGCGCACCUAUGUGUGUGUGUGUGUGGUGUGUGUGUGUGUGUGUGUGUGUGUGUGUGUGUGUGUGUGUAGGCAUGAUGUGUGGUCAGAAGACAGUUUCAUGUAGUCAUGUUUCUUUCAUUUUUACUUGGUUCCCAGGGAUCAAACUAAGGUCAGAAGGCUUGCAUGGCAAGGAUUUUGACUUGUGACAUCUUGCUGGCCCAGGUUUGUUUCCUUAAGCACUGACAACAAAACAAAUUACAACUCCACUUUUAUUCAGGAGUUUGCCAUCUUUGAGAUGAGUGCACACAUUCCUUUGUAACAGUUUACAUAGAGGGAAAGUACUAAAUUAGCUGCCCCACCCCAUCCUCCAAAAUGGGAUCUGAAAGCAGCUUGUGGAAAGACUCCCACCCCAUCCCAUGCCCCACUAAAAGGAUUCUCAAACCCACAUCUCGUCACUUUUUCUUAAGAACAUGGCUGUCCAACUCCCACCCUCAACAGCCUUCCUCGAUCAAUAGUCACUUCCUUUAUAAAUACACUUUCAUUAUCCCCCAGAAAAAGGAAAGAUUUAAAAAACUCAUUCUUAAGGAACAUUCAAGAUUUCAUAGCAAUAUUUUGUGUUCACAGUACAAGAUAAAUCUGAGUAUUUCUAAUUUCUUUUUCUAGUCUUCAUAUGGCAUCUGAAACAGUUGUUCACAUUCACACAUCUAUGUAUCACCAUAUGCAUACCGUGUGCAGUUCUGUUGUUUUAAAAUAUUUUAUUGGUUUUCUUUCAUAUCUCAACUUUUGAUGGGUGUCCUUGAAGAACUUGCAUAAAAAAUGUAAAUGUGAAUGAUUCAUUCAUUCUGAGCACAUGUAACUAUUUUGGGAGACUGUCUUCAGGAGGUUUUACCCUAUGGUGGAGCAUGCUGUUCUCAGUGAGGAGAGCUUCCCAGGACUGCUCUGCUCUUGGCUGGAUCCUAAAGAUUCGGGGCCAUGAUCUCUUCUAAGUUCAUGCUUCCUGCCAGUUUUGCUCCAUCAUUGGUCACUGUCUCAUGUCUCCACCAGGCCAUCAGAGAGGUAUAUGAUGUCAAUAGUCUUGUGCUGGAGACAAGCUUUGAAAUCCAUUAGAAUAUGUGCAAUUGUUUGUGUUAAAGAAUGAAUUCAUGGCUCAAAGAGUUGCAGUUUUUCUUCUACAAAUCAUAGAAGAUGCUCAGGCUCAGUGAUGUGGAAAGGCACAUCUAUGCAGCCUGAAAUCGGUUUCUGUACUAGAUAUUUAAAUGCAUGAGGACAAAUUUGAAUUGCUGUUUAAAAAAUGAAACCUAGAAGUAUUAGCCUCAGUUUGUUUAAAAUUUGCAAUGAAACUGAAUUCCUGGCAGUUCCAAACUGAGAAGCGAGUCUGACUUUGUAAAAGCUUUGUCUUGUCAAUAAAGUUUUAGCAG